UGUGUGUGUGUGGGCAAGCCUCCCCACCUGAUGAGUCAGAUAGACAAGUACAACUUGACCUGUUGGAACUGGAAACAGGUUCUCUGGCCUCUCCCUCCUCUGGGAAGCUGGAGGUGGAAGCUUGUUCUCCACACUCAUCAGGGUCACCCGGGAGCCUUUCCUGUGCCCUCGGCAGGGCUGAGCCUCGGAGAAGCUCAUCUCACCGCCUGUGACAGAGAGCUAGAGGCACACCCAUCACAUGGCUCGGAUCAUGACGAGCAGCAGCUCUCCUAAAAGGGACCUGAAGGAGCAGAAAAAGGUUUUUUCUCCAAACUUUAUUAACUGGAAACUCCAUGAACUGCCAAUAACUUCCACAUAGCCAGAGAUGAACCAGAUGCUCGUAACCAUGCCUUCCCUGCAAGCUGGCAGGAUUAUUGUGACAAUCAAACGUGCUAAAGUGUGAGGGCACCUUGACACUGCAAGGCGGUCAAGCAGGCUUGGAUCCUAAUGACUCAGAGCUCCUCUGUCCCCAGUCCGGGCCCUUCUCUGCUCCUGUGUGAUCUGGAUAUGACUCAGUUUUGUGCACCAGCUCUCACGGGAUAUUGUGAGGACUCCCGACAUCAGACAUAUAGGAUCUGCUCUUGAGAAGAGGCUCACCCACAGAUUUGAGUGGAAAGUUUGGAGACACUCCUGCCUGGAAAAAUGCCCAUGGGGUGUCAUGCUCUUCGCCAUCAUCACCUUGACUUCCUGAGAUCCUGCUACAUGUCCGUCACAUGCUGCCCACCUUUCCUGCAUUGUGUCCCUCAUCCUGACCACAGCCCACGAAGGCUGUCUUGUUCUGAUUGACAUCAGGAAGGCAGAGGCUGGCUCCAAAGCUCUGCCAUCUGGGAUGGGGCAAAGCCAGGACCGGAUGAGUCGUCAUUUGCAAAGGAGGCAGAGCCCAUUUCUGGAUGCUUUGGCACCAACAGCAAAGCACUUUGUCCGGCGUGGGCCGUCACUUUCUCCAGGUUUCACAGAGCUGUUGGGUUUGCUGUCUAUUGCUGUGGAACAAAUUCCCUCAGAACCUGGUUGCUAAAACAGUAUACAUUAUCUCACAGAAGUGACAUCCCACCACGUCUGCCGUAUUCUACUUGAUAGAGGGCAGGGAGUGGCAAACGUAUGGCCCGAGGACCAUAUAAGGCCCCAAAAAUCAUUUGGUCUGACUCUGCCAACGCAUUAGUGGUGAGUUAAUUAAAUACUUGACCAAAUAUAGCAGGCUGAUUUUUAGGUUGAUAAUUUUGUAUGGCCCACGAAUGAUGUUACAAAUAUCCAAAUGGCCCUUGGCAGAAAAAGGGUUCCCCACCCCUGCAGGGGGAUGAGAAGUCUAGAAGUAAGCAAACCAGGGUUGGUAUUACAGCUCCUCUUCAACAUCAUCAGAGCCUUAGGUUCCUUCUAACUUUCUGUUCUGCCAUCAUUAGAGUAUGGUUCCUGAUCUCAUGCCCACUAGAAGUCUGUGAGAGUACUAGGCCAUUAUGACUGAGGUCCAUACACAGGCAAGGAAGGAGGGCCAAAUACAAACAGGUCUAGCUUGCUUGCCAGUUGAAUUGCCCCCCCUUUAAGGGAAAUUUUCUGGAAGUAUAAUCUAACAGCAUUUGCUCACACCUUAUUGGCUUGAACAGUGUCACAUGGCCACCCCAGUUGUGAGGGAAACUGGGAAAUGUAGUGUUUUAAGGAGCACUUCAUCAUCAACACAAUCAGAAUACCAUUGGUAAGACAAAUAAAAAGAAAGAAAAAAGAAAAAAAGAAAAGAAAAGAAGGGAGAGUGGAUCCUGAAUAGGUAUCUAGCAAUCUCUGCCACGAAUAAAGAUGGGAAAAAUCCUCUGUUAUCAACCUUCUGGAUCAGGGGUCCAAACCAAGGUCCUCCUGCCUAGUGCCUUUUGCAAAAAUAGAAAGAGACUGAGUUUGGUAAAGCAGAGCAGAAACUUUAUUCUUUGAUCAAGGAAUGGAGUAGGAUCAGCUCAUACUCUAAAGGCACUUUCUUCCCACCUGGGGUGAAGCCUUCUGUAUUUAUAGGCUAUGGUGUGAAGUGAUUAAGUCCUUUUAGGCAUGUGGAGUUGUUUUUCUGUUGCACUUGGCCCUUUUGCACACGUUCCUUUUUGCACACGGUGCUCCAUCACCAUCUUGGUUUUUGCACUUGGCACCUUGGCCUUUGCAGUCAGUACCUUGGUCUUGUGGUCAGGAAUCUUUUUCAGUUCCUGUAGGCAAGCACAGCUUGUGACAGUUUAGGUCUUGAGAAAUGUUAGGGUCUUUUGCAUGACAAUCCAGUGACACUCCUUUGGGGACAUGACAUCUAAGCUAAGACCUCAAAAUGAAGAAGACUUACCUAGGCUGAUAGCAAUGGAGAGGCAUUCUAGGAAGAGAGACCGGCAAUAUAUGAAAGAGGGAAAGAAGGGGAGGUGGAAGAGCUUAACUUUCCAGGUGGAGCAUCCCACGAGGAGCAAGGUAAGAGUAUUCUAGCCCUUCUUGGUUUCCCAUUGAAAGGCACAAGGUAUACAGUUAAGUAAUAAAAGAAUUCUGAGCAGGACUAUUAAAUGACUGUUCUCAGAAAGAGAACAUUCUAUAUCACUGUUUCUCUAUGACUCAUCCCUUCGCAAAUACCUUCACUUUUGAGCACUUAGUACUUUUUCCCCUGAAAGAGUGAAAUGGUGGUCCCUCUUCCUGCCAAACUCCUGAUUAGCUUUGUUCUGGAUUUUGGGAAAAAAAGAAAUCCUGUUUCCUGCCCUUGUUUCCUGGCUGCAGCCUCUGGUUCCGCCCACUUCUUGGUCUCACAGUGUCUAUUUCCGCCUCAAGCUCUCAACCAAGCCCAUAGAUCACUUUUCUCAUCCACAGUUACUAGUUAGUCAUUCAGACAUAUCAGAGUGGAAAAUAAUUUCCUUUCUUUCUUGGGUCACUUUUUUCUUUUGUCCUCUUGGAUUACUUUGCUUGUUUUUUUCUUAAGUUAAUUUUUCAGACUCUUCCUUGUAAGGACAGAAAGAAUCUAAGCAGGUGUUGAGGGCUUGGUUCUCCUGGGGAAUAUACUGGAGUAUUGUUGGUUCAAGACCAGAAAUGAUGUAAUCAGGUCACUGGCAACAAAAGGAAGACAAGGAAAAUGCCAGGGUUUUCUGUCUUGGGUGUGGAGAUUGAGAUAUAACAUAAAUGGCCUGGAGGGGAAGUAAAAAGUGCCUCAUCAAAGAAGACAGCUUCUGGGUUUGCAUAAAUUCUCCCGCUUCUAGGCUGGCUGAUCUUAAGCCAGUUAUUUGAUUGCUUUACACUUUUUUUUAAAAGUUUAUUUUUAUUUUUUAAUUUCUAGGAAAGGAAAUAAUAGUGCCUAGCUAAUCAAGUUAUGUGAGGAUUAAAUAAAACGAUAACCAUAAAAUGCUUGUCAUAGUGCUACAGAGGAAGCACUCAGCAAAUGAUCAUCAUUACUAUUAUCUGGAUUUAGACAAUGUGUGUUUUUUAAUUAAAAUAUUCCAGCCUUGAGAAAAAAUAUAUAUAUAUGGAAGACCACUGAUUUCUUCCUUGAGAGACCGCUUGGGGAUAGAUGACAUGUGUAAGAUUGGCAUCCACCUUGGGAUCUUCCUCCAUGGAGAUAUGAGGGACAGAUUAUAAGCUUUUUAGAGUGAGGCUAUGUGGGAUAAUGAUAUAUCUCCAAAGUGUUCUCAAUUUUGAGGUCAGCCCUUGCUACCCCAUUCACAUGGGAAGUGCCUAAGAAACAGCCAGCUCUGGAUUCUCCCCACGGUAUCAGUGGAUUAGUCUCUCAGCAAAUGAGGAGAAUCCCAGCUGGGAAUACAGAUUUGGGAAUGGUGUUCUCACUCUCUUGAUGGCACAGAGGAAUAGCUCUUUGAAUCAUUCUAUUGGUCUGUUAAAAUGGUUCUGAGGUUGACUGUAAUUCAGAGGUUCCUUCCUCUAUUCCACUAAACCACUAGCUUUUAGAAAUUAUUGUUGGCACCAUGAGUAUGUCUGUUACACAUGACAACUGCAUUUAUAUCUUUGUUUUAUCAAGUCAGGAUAGGCUAAUUUAUGUUGUAGAAACCAACAGCCCUAAAAUCUCAGUGGCUGAAAACAACAAAAGGUUAUUUUCUUCACACUGCACAUCCAGAUCCAUGUCAACUGUCCCUGGCAGGGAGAAGGAGGGCACAUAAAAUCAUAUUCUGAUUCUUACAGGCUACUGCCUCAUUCCAAUUGCUCAAGCAGGUCCUGUAGUCAUGCCUAACUUUAACAAAGUCAUAUUAGGAUUUAUCAUGUUAGAAUUUUUCCCAUUCAAUGGGCUUACCUGUAGUCAGUAUGUUCUGAGGGUGUCUUGAACCUUUGAAAUCACCUGGCUUGAAAUUGUAGAGGACUGACCAGUAAUCCAAUAAAAAUGGGGCAAGAUGGAGAGUCUGCUAAAAUUCUCUUUUGAAAAAAAAAAAAGUCAUGUUUUAUGUAUUUAAAAUCAAAUUUGUUCUAUGUCUUACAUUUGAACUUUAAUAUAGAAACAAAAUUUGGGCCACAAAACAGUCAAGGUAUGUGCAAUAGUAAUGGUGAUUUUCCUUAACAAAUUGUCUAAAUAAUCUUUGUAAUAAUAACAGAUUUAGUUUAUUGAAUCUUUUCCAAGGGAGAGCUUAGGACAAAUGUGUCAUAAUAAAUAAGUCUUUAUAGCUUCAUUGCCUUAUUCCCAAUUAAUUCUGCAUAUACUUUAGACAUUGAGAAAGUAAUCUAUGUGGUUGAGGAUUACUUCAAAUGAUACUUGUUGCUUUAAAACACCAAUAACGACAUGGCUUUUUGACUGUUUUGAAUGAAAUGUGUAAGUAAAGCCAGUAGAGAUAUCUUUGUAACUAUGCUACAGUUUACUGCCUGCCCCUCACCUGCCUGGCUCUGGACUAAGCAUUCUGGACACAUUAUCACAUUCUUCAAUUUUCCUAACAAUAGGCUGAGGCUUUGAGGGGUCACAGUGUUCUGCCUAUAGUCACUUGGCUGAUACAUGACACAGCCAAAGCCUGACUCUAGGUUUGCCUGAAUCCGGAGGCCACCCCUUAAAAAGAAAAAAUUAUUCUUUUGAAUAAUUAAAGAACAGGUCUUUUCUUAAAUUUAGAGUGGGAUACAGCUAAAGGGGAGAUGGUCUAAACUGAACUCAAAACUCUUUCCCAUUUUCUCUUAUCUUUUUCUUUUCUGGGGUCCAGAGCAAUAAACAUUUAGAGAAAGACUGUUUACCCAAAGGCUGUUUCUAUUUAAAAUGUUUCACCAAGACAGUGAGUAAUCUCUUAUCCUAUUAAGGAAUUUUCACUGUUACUACUGAAACCAAGAUGUCAUUAUUAAAAUAAACUAUUGGUUUUCCA